AUUGAACGCUGGCGGUAUACUUAACACAUGCAAGUCGAACGGCAGCAUGGUCUAGCUUGCUAGACUGAUGGCGAGUGGCGGACGGGUGAGUAACGCGUAGGAAUAUGCCUUGAAGAGUGGGACAACUUGGGGAAACUCAAGCUAAUACCGCAUGUACUCGAGAGAGUAAAGCUGGGGACCUUUAGGCCUGGCGCUUUAAGAUUAACCUGCGUCCGAUUAGCUAGUUGGUAGGGUAAAGGCCUACCAAGGCGACGAUCGGUAGCUGGUCUGAGAGGAUGAUCAGCCACACUGGAACUGAGAGACGGUCCAGACUCCUACGGGAGGCAGCAGUGGGGAAUAUUGGACAAUGGGGGGAACCCUGAUCCAGCAAUGCCGCGUGUGUGAAGAAGGCCUGAGGGUUGUAAAGCACUUUCAGUGGGGAGGAGGUUUGGAAGGUUAAGAGCUAUUCAAAUGGACGUUACCCACAGAAGAAGCACCGGCUAACUCCGUGCCAGCCGCCGCGGUAA
rnacentral:rRNA from 1 species